ACCUAAUAGCGUAAUUAACUUGACUAAUAAUGGGAUUAGUUUUUUAGCUAUUUAUAGCUAAUUAACACAAUCCCGGGGCGUUCUAUAUAGUUAUGUAUAAUGUAUAUUUAUAUUAUUUAUGCCUCUAACUGGAACGUACCUUGAGCAUAUAUGCUGUGACCCGAAAGAUGGUGAACUAUACUUGAUCAGGUUGAAGUCAGGGGAAACCCUGAUGGAAGACCGAAACAGUUCUGACGUGCAAAUCGAUUGUCAGAAUUGAGUAUAGGGGCGAAAGACCAAUCGAACCAUCUAGUAGCUGGUUCCUUCCGAAGUUUCCCUCAGGAUAGCUGGUGCAUUUUAAUAUUAUAUAAAAUAAUCUUAUCUGGUAAAGCGAAUGAUUAGAGGCCUUAGGGUCGAAACGAUCUUAACCUAUUCUCAAACUUUAAAUGGGUAAGAACCUUAACUUUCUUGAUAUGAAGUUCAAGGUUAUGAUAUAAUGUGCCCAGUGGGCCACUUUUGGUAAGCAGAACUGGCGCUGUGGGAUGAACCAAACGUAAUGUUACGGUGCCCAAAUUAACAACUCAUGCAGAUACCAUGAAAGGCGUUGGUUGCUUAAAACAGCAGGACGGUGAUCAUGGAAGUCGAAAUCCGCUAAGGAGUGUGUAACAACUCACCUGCCGAAGCAACUAGCCCUUAAAAUGGAUGGCGCUUAAGUUGUAUACCUAUACAUUACCGCUAAAGUAGAUGAUUUAUAUUACUUGUGAUAUAAAUUUUGAAACUUUAGUGAGUAGGAAGGUACAAUGGUAUGCGUAGAAGUGUUUGGCGUAAGCCUGCAUGGAGCUGCCAUUGGUACAGAUCUUGGUGGUAGUAGCAAAUAAUCGAAUGAGACCUUGGAGGACUGAAGUGGAGAAGGGUUUCGUGUGAACAGUGGUUGAUCACGAGUUAGUCGGUCCUAAGUUCAAGGCGAAAGCCGAAAAUUUUCAAGUAAAACAAAAAUGCCUAACUAUAUAAACAAAGCGAAUAUAAUACACUUGAAUAAUUUUGAACGAAAGGGAAUACGGUUCCAAUUCCGUAACCUGUUGAGUAUCCGUUUGUUAUUAAAUAUGGGCCUCGUGCUCAUCCUGGCAACAGGAACGACCAUAAAGAAGCCGUCGAGAGAUAUCGGAAGAGUUUUCUUUUCUGUUUUAUAGCCGUACUACCAUGGAAGUCUUUCGCAGAGAGAUAUGGUAGAUGGGCUAGAAGAGCAUGACAUAUACUGUUGUGUCGAUAUUUUCUCCUCGGACCUUGAAAAUUUAUGGUGGGGACACGCAAACUUCUCAACAGGCCGUACCAAUAUCCGCAGCUGGUCUCCAAGGUGAAGAGUCUCUAGUCGAUAGAAUAAUGUAGGUAAGGGAAGUCGGCAAAUUAGAUCCGUAACUUCGGGAUAAGGAUUGGCUCUGAAGAUUGAGAUAGUCGGGCUUGAUUGGGAAACAAUAACAUGGUUUAUGUGCUCGUUCUGGGUAAAUAGAGUUUCUAGCAUUUAUGUUAGUUACUUGUUCCCCGGAUAGUUUAGUUACGUAGCCAAUUGUGGAACUUUCUUGCUAAAAUUUUUAAGAAUACUAUUUGGGUUAAACCAAUUAGUUCUUAUCAAUUAUAACGAUUAUCAAUUAACAAUCAAUUCAGAACUGGCACGGACUUGGGGAAUCCGACUGUCUAAUUAAAACAAAGCAUUGUGAUGGCCCUAGCGGGUGUUGACACAAUGUGAUUUCUGCCCAGUGCUCUGAAUGUCAAAGUGAAGAAAUUCAAGUAAGCGCGGGUCAACGGCGGGAGUAACUAUGACUCUCUUAAGGUAGCCAAAUGCCUCGUCAUCUAAUUAGUGACGCGCAUGAAAGAGAUUAACGAGAUUCCUACUGUCCCUAUCUACUAUCUAGCGAA
rnacentral:rRNA from 1 species